rnacentral:rRNA from 1 species
CGUGUAGGCGGGAAGAUAAGUCGGGUGUGAAAUCCCUGGGCUCAACCUAGGAACUGCAUCCGAAACUGCCUUUCUGGAGUGAUGGAGAGGAGAGCGGAAUUCCCGGUGUAGAGGUGAAAUUCGUAGAUAUCGGGAGGAACACCAGUGGCGAAGGCGGCUCUCUGGCCAUCAACUGACGCUGAGACGCGAAAGCGUGGGGAGCAAACAGGAUUAGAUACCCUGGUAGUCCACGCUGUAAACGAUGAGUGCUAGGUGUUGUGGGUAUUGACCCCCGCGGUGCCGUAGCUAACGCGUUAAGCACUCCGCCUGGGGAGUACGGCCGCAAGGCUAAA